CCUACGGGAGGCAGCAGUGAGGAAUAUUGGUCAAUGGACGCUAGUCUGAACCAGCCAAGUAGCGUGCAGGAUGACUGCCCUAUGGGUUGUAAACUUCUUUUGUAAAGGAGUAAACUGAGGCACGUGUACCUUUUUGUAUGUACUUUAUGAAUAAGGAUCGGCUAACUCCGUGCCAGCAGCCGCGGUAAUACGGAGGAUCCGAGCGUUAUCCGGAUUUAUUGGGUUUAAAGGGAGCGUAGAUGGGUUGUUAAGUCAGUUGUGAAAUUUUGCGGCUUAACCGUAAAAUUGCAAUUGAUACUGGCAGUAGUGAGGACAGUUGAGGUAGGGCGAAAGCGUGGGGUAGCGGGGAAAUGCUUAGAGAGCAAGAAGAAC
rnacentral:rRNA from 1 species